rnacentral:rRNA from 1 species
GAUGAACGCUAGCUACAGGCCUAACACAUGCAAGUCGAGGGGCAGCAUGGGAGAAGCUUGCUUUUCCCGAUGGCGACCGGCGAAUGGGUGAGUCACGCGUGUCCAACCUGCCUUCAGCCCGGGGAUAGCCCUUGGAAAUGAGGAUUAAGACCCGAUAGAUGGAAGUUCCGCAUGGCGCUUCCAUGAAACUGGACUGAAGAUGGGGACGCGUCGGAUUAGCUUGACGGCGGGGCAACGGCCCACCGUGGCGACGAUCCGCAGGGGUUCUGAGAGGAAGGUCCCCCACACUGGCACUGAGACACGGGCCAGACUCC